rnacentral:misc_RNA from 1 species
AAGUCGUAACAAGGUUUCCGUAGGUGAACCUGCGGAAGGAUCAUUAAAAAGUCCGGCGCCUCGGCGUCAUCUUUAAAGCCACUGUGAAACUACCCGUUGCUUCGGCGGCAUGGCGGCCCUUGCGGGUCCCUGUCAGUCCGCCAGAGGCUCCAAACCAAACCUUUCUGUAACCGUCGUCAUGAAAUAAAGAUUUAAUUCGUUAAAA